AUGCUUAAAAGCACAAAACUGUCUUCCCUUGCAAGUGGAAACAGCAAGAGUAAUCUUUAAUUGCUUACCAGAUGAAAUGUUCAGCCCAUCUCCAGAUAUUUUUAUUGACCAACACAAUAAUUAGGUAAAACUUAGUUACCUGGAGAAAUGAAAAGUGCAGCUGACCAUGAGCAGCCAGAAUGUAUUUUCUUUCCUUUUAGCUACAUUUUUUUAAUUUAAUAUCUUUUUCUAGAUGUGUGUCUCACUAUAUGAUUGUUCAGUCCAUCAAGUGAUUAACAGAACUGUCCACUUACAUAUGGAGAAAAUGUCUUUACAAGUUCUGGUAAUAUUUAUUUCUUUGGUAAACCCUGUAGAAAUGAUAGGUUUUCAUGAGUUACUCCUUCAAC